rnacentral:rRNA from 1 species
UACGGAGGGUGCGAGCGUUGUCCGGAAUCACUGGGCGUAAAGGGCGCGUAGGCGGCGCGGUUAGUCGGCGGUGAAAGCCCGAGGCUCAACUUCGGGUCGGCCGUCGAUACUGCUGCGCUGGAGCACUGUAGAGGCAGAUGGAAUUCCGGGUAUAGCGGUGGAAUGCGUAGAGAUCCGGAAGAACACCGGUGGCGAAGGCGGUUUGCUGGGCAGUUGCUGACGCUGAUGCACGACAGCGUGGGGAGCAAACAGG